UACGAAGGGUGCAAGCGUUAUUCGGAAUUAUUGGGCGUAAAGGGUGCGUAGGCGGUUUGUUACGUCUGUUGUGAAAUCCCCGGGCUCAACCUGGGAAUGGCGAUGGAUACUGGCGAGCUAGAGUGUGUCAGAGGAUGGUGGAAUUCCCGGUGUAGCGGUGAAAUGCGUAGAGAUCGGGAGGAACAUCAGUGGCGAAGGCGGCCAUCUGGGACAACACUGACGCUGAAGCACGAAAGCGUGGGGAGCAAACAGG
rnacentral:rRNA from 1 species